GACGAACGCUGGCGGCGUGCUUAACACAUGCAAGUCGAACGGAAAGGCCUGUCCUUCCUUGUGUUGGACGGGUACUCGAGUGGCGAACGGGUGAGUAACACGUGAGUGAUCUGCCCCCAACUUGGGUAUAAGCCUGGGAAACUGGGUCUAAUUCCCGAUAGGACUGCAGGGUGGUGCCUGUGGUGGAACACGAUUUUCUAGUGGUUGGGGAUGAGCUCGCGGCCUAUCAGCUUGUUGGUGGGGUAAUGGCCUACCAAGGCGGCGACGGGUAGCCGGCCUGAGAGGGUGGACGGCCACAUUGGGACUGAGAUACGGCCCAGACUCCUACGGGAGGCAGCAGUGGGGAAUAUUACACAAUGGGCGGAAGCCUGAUGCAGCGACGGCGCGUGGGGGAUGACGGCCUUCGGGUUGUAAACUCCUUGCGACCGCGAGGAAGCCGCCUGGUUGGAAGGGUGGUGACGGUAGUGGUAGAAGAAGCACCGGCUAACUACGUG
rnacentral:rRNA from 1 species